rnacentral:rRNA from 1 species
AGAGAGAGACAUGCGCGCAUAUCAAUAAGCGGAGGAAAAGAAACUAACAUAGGAUUCCCUCAGUAACGGCGAGUGAAGCGGGAAGAGCUCAAAUUUGAAAUCUUCAAGGUUCUACCUUGACGAAUUGUAGUUUAAAGAAGUGUUUUCUGUUGGAAUUUUGGUAAAAGUUCUUUAGAAAAAGACAUCAAAGAGGGUGAGAAUCCCGUAUUUGACCAUUAUUUCCAGCUUUGUGAUACACUUUCAAAGAGUCGGAUUGUUUGGGAAUGCAGUCCAAAAUGGGUGGUAAAUUUCAUCUAAAGCUAAAUAUUGGCGAGAGACUGAUAGCGAACAAGUACCGUGAGGGAAGGAUGAAAAGAACUUUGAAAAGAGAGUUAAACAGUACGUGAAAUUGUCAAAAGGGAAGCGUUUGACACCAGUGUUGUUUUCUCGAAAAUCAAUUAAAAAGGAUUGGAUUUUGUGUUGUUAUGACUUUAUCAGCAUACUGUCUACUUUUUCUUGUCUUUGUUAAUGCACUUUUCGUUUAACAAGUCAACAUCAAUUUCUUUUGCUGUAAAAGGGUAAUAGGAAGGUGGCUUCAUCUUCGGUUAGAAAGUGUUUAUAGCCUUUUAGCCUCUGCAAUCGGAGAGAUUGAGGUCUGCAGCGUAGACUCUUCGGGGUUAGAUGACAUUUGUGCUAAGUUAUAGCUUUUCAUAGACAACUUGUUGACUAUGAUUUAGUCAUUGUAGCUUACUCGCUUAUGCUAUUUUACCUACGCUUAGGAUGUUGACAGCAGUAUAGACUGU